UACGUAGGUGGCAAGCGUUAUCCGGAAUUAUUGGGAGUAAAGCGCGCGCAGGCGGUUUCUUAAGUCUGAUGUGAAAGCCCACGGCUCAACCGUGGAGGGUCAUUGGAAACUGGGGAACUUGAGUGCAGAAGAGAAAAGCGGAAUUCCACGUGUAGCGGUGAAAUGCGUAGAGAUGUGGAGGAACACCAGUGGCGAAGGCGGCUUUUUGGUCUGUAACUGACGCUGAGGCGCGAAAGCGUGGGUAGCAAACAGG
rnacentral:rRNA from 1 species